AGCGAACGCUGGCGGCAGGCCUAACACAUGCAAGUCGAACGGAUCCUUCGGGAUUAGUGGCGGACGGGUGAGUAACACGUGGGAACGUGCCUUUUGGUUCGGAACAACUCAGGGAAACUUGAGCUAAUACCGAAUGUGCCCUUCGGGGAAAGAUUUAUCGCCAUUAGAGCGGCCCGCGUCUGAUUAGCUAGUUGGUGGGGUAAAGGCUCACCAAGGCUACGAUCAGUAGCUGGUCUGAGAGGAUGAUCAGCCACAUUGGGACUGAGACACGGCCCAAACUCCUACGGGAGGCAGCAGUGGGGAAUCUUGCGCAAUGGGCGAAAGCCUGACGCAGCCAUGCCGCGUGAAUGAUGAAGGUCUUAGGAUUGUAAAAUUCUUUCACCGGGGACGAUAAUGACGGUACCCGGAGAAGAAGCCCGGCUAACUUCGUGCCAGCAGCCGCGGUAA
rnacentral:rRNA from 1 species